UAAGGAAUAUUGGACAAUGGUCGCAAGACUGAUCCAGCCAUGCCGCGUGCAGGAAGACGGCCCUAUGGGGUGUAAACUGCUUUUGUACCAGAGAAAACCUAUCUACGUGUAGAUAGCUGAUAGUAUGGUAAGAAUAAGCAUCGGCUAACUUCGUGCCAGCAGCCGCGGUAAGACGAAGGAUGCAAGCGUUAUCCGGAUUCAUUGGGUUUAAAGGGUGCGUAGGCGGGCUUGUAAGUCAGUGGUGAAAUCUCUCAGCUUAACUGAGAAACUGCCAUUGAUACUGCAGGCCUAGAGUAUAGAUGACGUUGGCGGAAUAUGCCAUGUAGUGGUGAAAUACUUAGAUAUGUCAUAGAACACCGAUUGCGAAGGCAGCUAACGAAACUAUAACUGACGCUGAGGCACGAAAGUGCGGGGAUCAAACA
rnacentral:rRNA from 1 species